rnacentral:rRNA from 1 species
AACGAACGCUGGCGGCAGGCUUAACACAUGCAAGUCGAACGCCCCGCAAGGGGAGUGGCAGACGGGUGAGUAACGCGUGGGAACAUACCCUUUCCUGCGGAAUAGCUCUGGGAAACUGGAAUUAAUACCGCAUACGCCCUACGGGGGAAAGAUUUAUCGGGGAAGGAUUGGCCCGCGUUGGAUUAGCUAGUUGGUGGGGUAAAGGCCAACCAAGGCGACGAUCCAUAGCUGGUCUGAGAGGAUGAUCAGCCACAUUGGGACUGAGACACGGCCCCAACUCCUACGGGAGGCAGCAGUGGGGAAUAUUGGACAAUGGGCGCAAGCCUGAUCCAGCCAUGCCGCGUGAGUGAUGAAGGCCUUAGGGUUGUAAAGCUCUUUCACCGAUGAAGAUAAUGACGGUAGUCGGAGAAGAAGCCCCGGCUAACUUCGUGCCAGCCGCCGCAGUAA